AUGCACUAUAAUAAUAUGGUUGUCUUCUGCUCUUCAUGCAGCAACCAAUUUUGGUCAGUGGCCAUAUGCUGGUUAUCAGCCAAAUCGUCCUACCACAAGCCGCAGAUUCAUGCCUGAACCUGGUACUCCUGAGUAUGAAGAGCUGAAGUCUAAUCCUGACAAGGCUUUCUUGAAAACUAUCACAGCCCAAUUCCAGACUCUACUUGGUCUAUCCACCAUUGAGAUUUUAUCAAGGCACACUACUGAUGAAGUUUAUCUCGGACAAAGGGAGAAUCCUCAAUGGACAAAGGACACAGAACCACUUGAAGCUUUUAAAAAAUUUGGACAAACUCUGUCUGAAAUUGAGGAUCAAAUUCUACAGAUGAAUGGUGAUCCAAAGUGGAGAAACAGGGUUGGACCAGUUAACAUACCAUACACCUUGCUUUUCCCUACGAGUGAAAGUGGAAUAACUGGCAAAGGAAUUCCAAAUAGUAUAGCAAUAUGAUUCUCACCAUAUCCAAUUUGAUUCUUGUAUACAAAUACAAUUGUCCAAAAUAAGGAUAUUCUCUACAUAUUGAUUUAGACAUCCUAUAUUAUUAGCAAUGUCUUUGUCUAAUGCAUGAUUGGUUCUUAGAUUUGUGAUUAUAAUCUGAAUUUCAAACUUUAUUCCAUGUACCUGUAAAGAAAGAAAAGAAAAUUAAUUAAAAAGAAAUUUGAUGGGGGAAGACAAAAGACAAGAUCAUCAAAUUGAUGCCCACUAUAAAAUAGACUAUUAGGUAUUGGUGUGUCUUGGGGUCCGAGGGCUAGAUGUGGAAUUGAAACCCCAUUCGGAACAACAUAAAGGAGUUUUUGGAGUUCAAGCAUUUAUACUUAAUAUCGUGAUUUAGAUUAAAAUAUUGUUUAAUAAUUUUUUUAGUAAUUUUUUUGAGCUUAAUAAUUUUCAAAUUAAAUUAUACUUGAUGAAAGAGUGGUAGUAAGCGUAAAUAUUUGACAAAAAGUGAUUUUCACCCUAAUAUUUGUGACCUGCGUACAAUAUGCUCGUUGACUUGUGAGAAACCAAUGCAAAGUGUUGUGACAUUGUAGAUUACCUUUUAGUACAUAACUAGUGAGACGGCCUGCGCGUUGCGCAGGAGCGCUAAUAUUUUCCGUGUUAAGUUGCUUAAUUUUUAACCGUUAUAUAUUUCUUAUAAUGUAGAGAGUUAUAUAAUUAUUAUAAGUCUGACUUGAAUUAUAAAAUAAUAGUGCGGUAAAUUGGUUGGGUGAAUAUAGUGUUAAUAGUUUGUGAAGUAUGAAGGAUAUUUUGUACUAUAGUGGUUAAUAAAGUACUAUAAUUGAGACAAUGCAGUUUGUGAAGUACAUUUUGUGUGGUAUGAUUUGUAUAAAUUAUGUAGUCUGGAUGAGAUAAUUAUAAAGAUACCCGUCUAUAUUUAUGUAUAUCUCUAUUACUCACUAAAUUCCAUAAAUAUGGGCCUAUUUCCUUCUUCUUUUUUUGCACAAAUUAAAACAUUUAAUCAAUAUAAUCAUAACAAUUAUUUUUCUUUCAUAUUUUUGUAAAAUGCCGCUCACUAAUAUUAGAUCAUUAAUCCACAUUAAGAUCCAUGUAUUAUACAUUGUUUUUGAAAUUUAAAGUACUUUAAUUUUUUUUAAUGUAAGAAACAAUCUAAUUAAUCUUGCAUGUUUGACUAAAAGAAUAAUAAAAAAAUAGCAUACAACAUUGCUUUUCAAUUUAAAGCAAUUUUAAGCCAUUAUGAAAAAUGAAUAUGCUAAAAAUUUUAUAAUAAUUAUAUAUAUACAUUAAAUAUGGAUAUUUAUUUAACAAUAUAAAAGUGAGAGUUGCCCUAUAAACAGUGUUUUUUUGUCGAGCGGUUAUCCUGCAAUUGUUAUUAGAUAUCCAAGCUAUUAGUAAAUAACAAACUAAUUAUUCUUUUUUAUAGAAUGAAAAGAAUAAGAAUAAAAACAAGGGCAUUAAAAAUUUGUAAUAAUUAUAUAGAGUAAAUAUGGAUAUAUAGACUAAUAUAUCUUUAUAAUUGUAUGUUUUAAAAAGUAGUAGGAUUAGAAACCAUUUUAAGUCCAAACCCUUGACACCUUAACUGAUUUUGGUUAUUUGUGAUAACAAUGUUGGACUUCUCUCUCUCUCUUUUUUUUUCUUUUUCUGCUGUUCAAUUUUUAGGAAUCGUGCAAUCAAAAGCUACUCCUGAACAUGCUAAACAACCACUGCAUUCAACAAUUUUACAGAACACUAUUUUAUUUCAUUUUUUUUGCAAUAUAUGCAUUGAUCUUUUUUGCAAACAAUUUUAUUUCAUGUCAGAGUAAUAAAAUUCAUUUUUUAAAGUCACUAAUGCCAAUAAUAAUUUAUUAAUUAUUUCCUCAAUAAUUGUGUCUUUACAGAACACUUAACAAUUUUAUUUCAUGUUAAGCCAACAAUAAUUUAUUAAUUGUUUCCUCAAUAAUUGUGCAUUUACAGAAUACUUCAAAAGCAAAUAAUUAACCACAAAAUUAACUUUGUACUAAAAAUACAAGACUAACUUUUAAAUUUUGUUUAAAAAGUAAAAAAUAUCACUAAAUUCAACAUUCCAACUUAAAGAGCCUAAAUAAAAAGGUAUAUAAUAACAUUAAAUCACAUAAAUAUAUUGAUUGUAUAGUUAGAUGUAAGGAAUGUAGGCAACAAAGAAUAUAAAAGGCAUCGGAUAUUUAGUAAAAUAAAAGAAUAUAAAUAAGCAUGAAUAAAAGUAAAAAUGGGAAAAAUUUAACAAGCAUCAUGAUUAAGAGGAAGGAAAAUGUGGGAAUUCUCAUCUUGUAAUAGGUUUCCAAAUGACAUGAACAAAUCAAAAGUACAAAACAGUAGAUUACUCAAAGUCAAAAUGGCAAUUUUCCAACGGAGAAGAGGAGGUUUCAAAGAAACAUGUAGAAACAAAAAGUGAGGCAUCCACAAAAGUGAACAAUGAGUCAACAAAAAAUAGGGUCAGAAGACAACAAAAUUACCAAACAAUCAAGCAACUAUAGCAUGCAGCUUGAACGAAGGAAAAAAGGAAUGGCAUAACUGAAAAAUAAGACAAACCUAAGGCUAAACUAAUACUCAAGAAUAGCUAAGAUGCCUAUCUCUGCGGAUCACAAUUAGGCAAAAAUGAUGCAAACAAAGAGGAACAAAGAACAAAUAAAUUACAAAGAAACCACUCAACUAUAACAUGCAUCUUUCGGUCUCCUGAGUCCUGAGUAAGGCAGAAACAGGAAAUGGCAUUAGCGAAAAAUGAAGGACUACUAAGGCUAAUUCUAAUGACAUAAGGAACUGCCAAAGACUGAUGCAAAUGGAGGUGCCGAAAAGCCAACAAAACCAACAAAUACAAAAGCCAUCAAAGUUGCUGAAAAUUACGUGAUAACCGCUCGACCAAAAUGGCACUGUUCAUCCUCCAACUCCCGCUUUUAUAUAGUUAGAUAUUCCCUUCUAUAUAUUAUCAGAAUAAGGGAAACUUGAGAAGAGAUAUAUAGUAGUGUUUCAAGUGUUAUUAUUAUUAUUAUUGAUUAAUCUUUUCUAUAUUGACAGUGUAUACACUGCUAGUGUUGGAUGAAUGACAACGACAUAAAAUUUGAAUUUGAAAUCUAACUUUUGCACAUGUGUCAUGGAUCUAACGAUAAUAGUAUAUAUAUUGUAAGUGUAUAUAAGACUUACUCUAUUAUUAUUAUAAGUAAAUUUUAUAUACAUUGACAGUGUAUCACCGUUGGAUUUAUGACAUAUGUAUGAAAAUUGAAUUUCAAAUUCAAAUUUUAUAUAGUUGUCAUUCAUUUAAUACUGAUAUUUUAUAUACUACUAGUGUAGGAAAGAUUAAUCCUAUUAUUAUUAUCCUCACCGACCAACUUGGGACAAUAUAAAAUGACUUUUGUUUCUUCUUUGUUCCAAGCUUUUUACGAAAGGAAACAACUGGUGUCAAAGCAAGGAUAUAACUAAUAUUGCAGAACAAUCAUACCGUUUAUUAUUAUUUUUUUUUGUUUUUUGGGGGUUCAAAGGCUAUACGGAAAAGGGAAGAUGAAAGGAUUUGAUGCUCAGAUUAGGUACAUCAUCGUCACUUGAUUAAUAUCUCUAUCAAAAACUAAAGGCUAUUAUAUUAUUUGCAUUCGAAAACGUAUAACAAAGAAAUUAAUUAAAAAAAAAGAGAGAAGGAAUUGCGUACGUAUAAUAGUCCCGGGACCCCAAAGGUCCUCGAGAUCGCUUGGUCAAACAAACCUAGUGCUAUCAAAGACUUCUAGAAUAUAUGCUUCUAAUCGUAGAUAGCUUCUAGAUUGACCAUAAUCGUUUAUCUUAAGUAUUGUAAUUUAAACGCCUAAUUAAAAAGAUAUGAUAGAAAUUUACAUUUUCCUUCCCUUUAAACCCAAGUUUCUCUUCCCUCUCUCACUCUACAAACUAGGCUUUACUUUCUCCGUGGAUAGAGCUGUUAAGUCAAUCAAGUAGCUCGAAAGCUCGUUAGAGCUCGACUCGUUAAGGCUCGAGCUCGGCUCGUUAAUUUUGGUUAACGAGUCGAGCUCGAGCUCGAAACAUGCUCGUUUAGUUAACGAGCCGAGCUUACUCGGCUCGUUUGAUACUCGAGUAGCUCGUUAGAGCUCGUUAAUGAAGGGCAUAUUUGUCAUUUUAGAAAUCAAAAUUAUAAAAAUUAAAAAUUAUAGGUUUUUAUUAAGGUUAAUUUUCACGAGCUCGAGUUCGAGCUCGUGAAGCUCGACUCGUUUGUGAUAAACGAGUCGAGCUCGCAAACGAGUCGAGCUCGAGCUCGAACUCGAGCCACAUGUACACUUAACGAGUCGAGUUCGAACACAUUUUAAAGCUCGUUUUCCUAACGAGCUCGAGUCAAGCUCGGCUCGAAUUGAACUCGAGUCGAGCUCGGCAGCCAAAUACUCGGCUCGAUUAACAGCUCUAUCCGUGGAUGGAGACCUUCUCCUCUUAUAUUUUUGUGUAUAGCAAAGUAUUUUGUAGGAUUUUUUAAUGAGAAUUUUCUUCUCACUUAGAAUAUUUCGUGGGAGUUUUCUUUUCUUCAAGAUCUCAUAGUCGGAGUUUUUUUAAUUUUUUUGUCUCUUUAUUGUUAAAUUUGAGAUUAUUUUUGUAAGAUCAAUGGCGAAUUUCUAAGAAUAUUAUCAAAAUUGAAAAAGUUCAGAAAAUUGAGGUUCCAUGCGAGUGGUUGCUGAAUAAGGGGUCGCCACAAUUGAGAGGUGAGACUACACCAAAAAACACUUUUCAUUUUCAUUUAUUUUGGUUUCAUGUACUUUGGGUCAGCUUUGUUUUUUAAAAAAGUUGCCGAAAUUGAGCUUUUUUGUCCUUAUGUGUCGAAAGCCGAGCUUACUACCUUUUUUUUCGAAUGUAAUUUUGGAAUUGCAGUAGCGAGCUCUUACUACCUUUUUGGAAUUGCUUUCCUACCUUUUUUUUUUUUUUCGAAGCAUUCUUACUUUUUUUUUUUUUUGUCGAAACGAUAGAUGUCCUAUAACCUAAUCUAAGGGGAAGGGGAGGGGUUCGAUGUAAGUACAGACUCCAUCGAUGAAGGUCAAUUAAGACCGCCACAAAUUGUGGCAAAUUUGUGGGAGGCAGGGAUUGAACCCUGACCUCCAGCAUCACCUUUAAUGGUGAUGACCACUGGACCAGAUGGCCAGUGGCUUUUGGAAGCAUUCUUACUACCUUUUAUUAUUUCAUAUGUAAUUUUUAAUAAGUUAUUUAAUGUUUAAUUUCAUAUAUAAUAAGUUAUUUAUUAUUUCAUAUUAAUUUUUAAUAAGUGUCGCCACUCAUUCUAGUUUAUUUUUAUUGUGAAGCAUUCUUCGUACCUUAUUAUUUCAUAUGUAAUUUUUAAUAAGUUAUUUAAUAUUUAAUAAAAGGCAGCAUGAUCAAAUUUUUUCCUACCGUUUUUACGUAACCUUAAAUAGGCAUAAUUAGGAUUUUACGUAUUACAUGAAACACCUGAACAAGUUCAUGCACUACCUCGGAGGCCCGAACGAUUACAAUUAGGACGAGAUCUACCACAUAGGAGAAUUCAUUGGAAAUGUGGUUGUUCUAUCACUCCGCGAAAUAAAGGCAAGAGGCGCGUUGAUGGGUGAAAUAAUUAUCAAAACUCUCAUUUUAUUGCUAAUUAUUACAUUCUAUAAAUAUUGUUUAAUGUUGCAUUAUUUAUUAUUAUUCAAUUUAGCAUUACCAUUAAAAAAUUUAAAAAUAUGACUUAGGUAAAUUUUAGAAUGAUUAUAAUACCAUACCAAUUAUUUAAAUCCUAAACUCUAAUUAUGCCUAAUUUAUUAUUAUUUAAGUUUAUAUACUAAUUAUUACAUUCUAUAAAUAUUGUAUUAUUUAUCAUUGAUUGCGAUAAUAAUAUUAUAAAAUUUAAAAAUAUGACUUAAGUAAAUUUUAUUAGUAAUUUAAUAGCAUACUCGAUUAUCAUGUUAAUUUAUAAAUUUGACAUUAUUCUAAUAUCAUAUUUUAAAUUUUUGAUAAUUUUGGUUUAUAAUAGAAUUUUAGUAAUAUGAUUUAAGAAUUUUAAUUUAAAAAGUGUUACACUGUAAUUUAAAAAUUAGUAUUUCACGUAAUACAUAAAAUCCUAAUUAUGCCUAUUUAAGGUUACGUAAAAACGGUAGGAAAAAAUUUGGUCGCGCUGCCUUUUAUUAAAUAUUAAAUAACUUAUUAAAAAUUACAUAUGAAAUAAUAAGGUACGAAGAAUGCUUCGCAACAAAAAUAAACUAGAAUGAGCGGCGACACUUAUUAAAAAUUAAUAUGAAAUAAUAAAUAACUUAUUAUAUAUGAAAUUAAACAUUAAAUAACUUAUUAAAAAUUACAUAUGAAAUAAUAAAAGGCAGUAAGAAUGCUUCGAAAAAAAAAAAGGUAGGAAAGCAAUUCCAAAAAGGUAGUAAGAGCUCGCUACUGCAAUUCCAAAAUUACAUUCGAAAAAAAAAGGUAGUAAGCUCGGCUUUCGACACAUAAGGACAAAAAAGCUUCGCCGCUCAUCAGUUGAGCGGCGAAGCAAUUUCGGCAAGAUUCCUUCGCCUCUCAUUUCAUGAGCGGCGAAGGGUUUUUUCUUUUUUAAAAAAAAAAAAAGCUGACCCAAAGUACAUGAAACCAAAAUAAAUGAAAAUUAAAAGUGUUUUUUGGUGUAGCCUCACCUCUCAAUUGCGUCGACCCCUUAUUUAGCAACCCUCCUCCGAUACCCCCAAUUUUCUGAAAAUUUUCAAAUUUGACAAUAUUUUAAGAAAUUCGCCAAGAUCAAUGCAUUUAUUAGAUCUGAAAUUUCUUAGAUUCUCUUCUCAGACCUAAAAUUUUAGUGUGAACAAGUUAAAAAAUAGAUCUAAAAAAGGUGAUAUUAAUGAUAUGUACAGAUAUUUAUUGGGUUGCAUAUGAUUUAUCAAGCUUAUUCUUUAUAAUUAUUUUUCAAAUAUGUUACAUAAGUAUUUCUCGAAAUUGAUGUAUUCGUUGCAUGCUUGAUUUAUUUUUUGCCAUUGGUCCAAAUCUCAAGGAAUGAAAGUAUGUAUUCUUUUUUUUUUUUAUGAAAAAAGUAUUGUAAUUCGAAAUAGAUUAUUAGCCAAAACGUACACCUUCUUUUCCCUCAUUUGAUCCAACUUCUUACUGAUUCAUAUUCUUCUUAAUUCAUUUUUCAGAAUUUCCUCCAACGGAGAACCAAUCUAUAUCAUGCAUGCACGAUGUUCCAUGUCUCCUUCUCAUUCUGUUGCUUCCAUCUUGAGUUUUUUCCUUUUUUUUUUUUGGAGUACACAAUUCUUGACCUCCCUCAAAGGUCAUUUAAAGGUAAUAAAAUCUCAUAUUGACUUUUAUCUUAUGGGUUGUUCAACAACCAUCUCUUAUCUCUCAUGCUUGACGUAACCAACAGGAAGUUAAAUACUGAUGGAUCCAAAUUGACAAAUGACAUAAACUUACAAGGAAAAAUUCACCGGAAACGGAUCAAGAGGCAAAGAAUUUUCUUCUUCUACUACUAUUCAAAUUGCAGCGGCUGCAACUCACAAAACAAAAGACGACGGACAGAGGAUCUGACUUAUUCUAAACAAAAUCCCAAGGCUACCAUAUGCCUUACGUGGCUUUUUAUCUCUUAGACAUCUAACCUAGAGGUGGCAAAAUGGAUAUAUAGAUCAUAAUUGGUUUCGUAUAAAAGAUUUGUAGAUUAUAUCAUCCAAUUCAUUUAAAUACAUAUAAUAAAUGAUUGUAUGUAGAUUGGAUCUAAAUGGAUGAUAGAUAUCCAAUUAUCCAUUUAAAAAUCAUUUAACUAACGUGCACCGUAUAUUAUAACCACAUGUAUUGAUGUGUAUGGGCAAUUGAAAAAUGCGUGUUUUGAGCUGCAAUGAAAAAAAUGCCUUAGAUACACUGAGAAUUUCAUUUUUGUCCUUUCGUAUACUAACUUUUCUUUUUUUUUAAUCAAAUGGACUACUCCUAAUGAGUCCCUUGAUUCCGAUUUGGCUUCAAAUCACUAUCAUAUAGCAAAACAAAUGUAAAUAUUCACCAAAAAAAAAAAAAAUCUAAAGAUCACACUUCUCAGACUUCAAUAUCCCCAAAGAACCUUUGAUAGUACAAUAUGCAUUUUACAAAUUUGUCAAAACUUGGAAGAUGGCCUUUCCAAAAGUGCAUGUCACAUAAUUGCACACAGAAAAAAUAUACUUUGAGCUCUCGUUGAACUUGAGAUGCCUAGACUACUGAGAGAAAGAAGACUGAGUUUUGGAUUUUUUUCAAAAACUAGUUAGUUAUAGGAAUUUUUGGGAUCAAUUUUGUUUGAUGAGAAUAGGAUGGCUGAUGAAUGAUAGUGAUGCUAGCAAGGUUCUUCUUCGGGAGAAGAUAGACAUGGGAGCCGUCUGUUGAGGGAAUGGGGAGAGAUAGAUAAGUCAGAUUAUACUUUUCGUCCAUCUUUUUUAAUAAUUGGAUAAAUAUAGAUAAAAUGGUUUAUCCAUUUAAAUCCACCAACUUAAUCGGUUUUAAAUGGUUAUCCAUUUAAAGUCAUUAGAUUUAUUUUAGUCAUUCAAAUCCAAAUAAUAGUAGUGGUUCAAUUAUAUGGAUGGAUAAGUGGAUUUCAAUCUAGUUUGCCGCCUCUAGUCUAACCUAUUACUAAUACAUCUUGAAAUUGAAUUCCACGUUGCCCAUCAUACUAACUAAAUAGGACAACUAACACUAGUUUGAUUUAUAGAAAUACUCGUAUGAGAACUAUAGGGUGGGAACAUUACAGACUUUUCAGAUUGUAUUGAUACUUAAAAAAAAAAAAAAAAAAAAAGAACUUGCACUGAUACUUUCACAUUUUUAAAUAUCCUAAAAAUAAUACGAAGAUAAAGUUAGGUUACAUUUUUCUGACAUAUUGUAAUGGGCACUGAAAUGUGAUCUUGAUAUUCAGAGUAAGGCUCUCACUUAACCAUGAGAAACCUCGAGAAGGUAAAUGCAUGUAAUUCUCCCAUGCAUUCUUCAUUCUGCUACUGGUGCAAAUUUUAUGUAAAGUUGAUUAUGGUUUGUAAAUUUGAUUCAACUUAAAGGAGGUAUGGGCAUAGUUGAUAGUACUUCUAUGAUUUGAAAAUUGUACUACUAUGAUAUGAACAAAACCCCAUUGUAUCCCCCCCCCCCCCCACUCUUUUAUUUGACCACGGCUUAAACAUGUUGUGAUAACUGCUUCUUCCUACCAUGCAUAUAUGAUGAUGUACAAUUACAGAGAUACAUUUGUUUAUUUUACAUAAUUAAUGUAGUUGUGUAACUAGUGUUUAUAGAAACUCAUUAAAAAGGGCUCGAGGUGUUGGUGUUUUAAAAAAAAAAUUAGAAUUAAGUUGGAAAAGUGUUUGAGUACAAAUGAGGAUAAUAAAUGCUAGGAUACAGGUAUGAAUUAUAUAGUAAGUAGAUGUGUUAACGAGUAUCAUUAAUACACUUAAUUAAUCUUAGAUUUAUCGAAUGAUGCAUUAAAUAAAAAAAAAAUGGAAAAACUCAAACUUAAGUAAGAAAUUAAUUCGGAGAAGUUUGGGGGAUAAGUGGAGUAACUUAUUAGGUUCUUUAGAAUCUCUUUAUUGUUCUCUAUUGAGUUUAAGGUUCCACCUUCUAUCCAACUUUAACAUUCCUCAAGGUCGUUUGCUACAGUUUCACGUCCUGUACCACGAAUUAUGCAACAAAAUGUGCAUGGCCAUAAAAAUUUUGGUUAACAUCUAUGAACGAACAGUUGGAAUGUCACGUUUUGAUUAGAUUAAUCGAUAUGAUUUAAAAAGAUUGACAAGAAGAGGCUAUUCUAAGUUACCGAAUUCCAUUCUUAAAUUUGUAAUAAAUGAUUAAAAGCGAUGUAAUUAAUGCAUCCAACUGAAUUAAGGGUUAGAGUUAGAGAAACACACCUUUAGACCAAUGGGAUAUACUCCUACACACACUUUAUAUUGAAGGAAGGUGCAUGAAUUUGAAGGACUGCAUAUAUUGUCUGGUGACUAGCUUGAAGGGAUGGUUACUAAUGUAUCCAAUCGAUGGUUUUACAGCCUUUAAGGUUCAUAAACUUGACACAAAACAGGCUUAAUAACUCCUUUAGGUUUAUCACAAUUGCAGUAGUUUUGAUGCUUGAAAGUUACACUAUAACCUUGAGGGAAGUAUUUUUUAAUUAUGAUAACCUCAAAGAAAGUUGGUGUGAUUUAUCCAUAAAUGUAAGUUAGCAAUUACUCAAUUUAACAUAAAGCUUGUUUUGAUGAAGGAAAAGCUUACUUGAUACUAAAAAAUUUCUUCUAUUUAGAGACGAGAAGCAUACAGAACCUAAGAUUGAUGUAUGGUUUAGCACAUUUUGCAUUAUAAUUAUGGUGAAUGUGUUGUAAAUAAAUGUGUAUUUUAAAAGAUUUUGUCCCACGUUAAAAGACAAAGAAACUUUCAAUCAUUUUAUAAUGUUUAACUUCUUAUUGGGCUUAUGUUAAGUUGAUCAUUAGUGUAGAUUCGCGCACAUGAGAACAAAGUUGAGUCAAGCCUAUCUAGUGCAAAUUGAUGGAUUCCCCCCUUUCUUGCACUGAGAUAAAGUUUUAUCUUUCAUCUUAAUCUUUGAGGAUAAAGUUUUGGCAUAUCAUUCUUUCUUCGUUCUUCUCUUCAUUCUUGUUUAUCCUUCUCUAUUAUGUUUAUUCGAUAUUUGCUGGUUCUGUUCCUUCUUGUUUACAAGAAGAUGGUUUGUUUAAUUUUAAAAAAAUAUUUCAAUCUCUUGGAAUAGUUUCUUAAAAUAGUGCUAUUUAGCACGACUCAAACUUGUUUAAAUUAUGUCUAAUAAAUUCUUAAAUUUACCAGCCACUCUUCAUGACUUUUUUUGUUAAUAAAUUCUUAAAUUUACCCAGAAGGAGUCAAAAAUUUCAAUGCCCACCACAAAGUACGCGUCUUUCCGAAACAGCAUGCAGAAGAGGUGAUGAAACUUUCCGUAGCCAUUGACAAGUUGUUUACUUUUCAAUUUUGGACGUACAGUUGUUUACUUUUCAAAUUUGGACGUACAGCAACUUAACUUUCCUUGCUCUUUCACUUUGAAUAAAAGCUAGUGUUAACCACUAGGCCAUUGAUUAAGACUUGGUAAGGUGAGAGGUAAGGGUUUAAAUGUGAUUGUAUAGUAUAUUCGUCUGAUCCGAUAAUGAUUCAGUCCCUUUCGAAUUACUCCAAAACUCUAUUAGGCCCUUUUUCUUCUUAUAGUAUAGGAAGCUAUCGUAUCGAAAAAAAAAACAAAAAAUAAAAGCUGGUGUAAAAAAGAAAUACUUUCUUGUGUUUUCUUAUCUCAUUCUGUCGAACAUCUAAAUUUCAAGGAUUGUAACGUAUAAUAAUAAAUAUGUAGCGUGUAUUAUAGAUAUAAGUACCUAUGACAACGUUUAUUCAGUCUAGCCAUUAGGAUUAGCCUAAUAAUCAGAAAAGAUUGCUGUCAAAUUCAAAAUUCGAACCGUGUGCCUAGCAUAAUAGUUGAGGGGUAAGAAGAUUGGGGGGGAGUAAAAACAAAACAAAACGUUUACUCAAUCCCAAUUUGCAUAGUCUACGACGUAACUGGAAAGUUAGUAGUUGAAUAUUCCAAGACUACCUGGUCAAAAGCAGCCCAACUGUGUUCUGUGGGGACGCACAUGUACCCGGCACCGGAGAAAACCGGUUGUGAUUGGAUGAAAUAAUGCAAUACAUUUUAAAAUUACAAUAAAAGCCCUCUUAAAUAUUUGUUCAUCAUCUAAUGCCCAUUACUUAGAAAAUAUUUUGCGAAUACUCCAACCGAGAUGCCGGUCCCAAUAAAAAGUGAAGAGCAAAAAGUGAAUGUCAAAGAAACGUGGAAAAUAAAGGUACGGAAAGGUAUCCAAAAUUGUUAUAACGAAAAAUGAGUGAAAUUUUCAACAUUAUUUAGUGAAUUUUGUACAUGUCAAAACAAAUAUUGUAGUAGUUUUUAUUUUUUAAUUGAUUUUGAUAUUUGAAAUAAUUUAAACGUAAAUAUAAAAGGAAGAGUUGGGAUAUCAAACAUGAUUAAAAUAAAGGAAUGUGCAAUUUUGGUUCUCCAACGUUUGGUCUAUGAGUUAAACUAAUCCCUGAUAUUUUGACCAAAAUAAAUAUGAUCCCAAAUUUUUUAUUUUAGGCAAAUUUAGGACAACUAAUGGAAAACUGCAAUAUCUAACAAGCAAAAUCAAGUUAAAAUUAGUCAAAAGUUUGAAUUUAUAUUUUUUGGUCCCUUAUGUUUUAAAUAAUUAUAUUUCAAGUGAAAUAAAUGUGAAUUAGAUUAAAUGUAUAAAAAAUGUGUUCUAAAUCUCCUUAAAAGUAAUCUACAUUAUCAAAACAUAUCAUUUAGCCUAAAGAGCAUCGUUUUGUUAAAUUAAUUACAAACAAAUGAUAACACAUAAAUCAUAUAUAAAAGAAAAUUUAGUGAAAAAAAGAGAAUUUUAAUUUGAGUAUAUAUUAACUUUAAUUCUAAACAGUAUAAACCAAAUCGUUGCAUGACUUGUGGAUAUGAAUUUCAAUCGGUUAUGAUUAGGUAUUGUGAUUAUAAUAGCAAGUAAAGAUGAUUUCCAAUAUAAAGGACUCACAUGAAUUUUUAAAAAAUUUCUUACUAUUUCUUCUUAUCUUUCCUUCAUAUUAAAUCAAAUAUUUCAAUAAUACAAUUUAAUGUAUUUAUGUUUAUGUUCAUCUUAAAUUCAUAAUUUUAUUGAAUAAUUUAAAUAAUUAUAAAAUCUUUAUUUCAAUUGACAACUAGUUGAAAUGACAAAAAAAAAGAAAAAGAAAAUAUUAUUCAAUCAACUCAAUGGCAUAUAAUUGUUUAUAGCAUAAUAGAAUAUUUAAUUAAUUAUUUUAAUUUAUCAAAUGUUAGCAUUGGGCAUUAGAUGAUGAACACAUUUUUAAGAGGACUUUUAUUGUGAUUUUUAAAUGUAUUAGUACAUUUUCCAUCCACGCACAACCGGCUUUCUCCCGUGCCCCCAGGAUAACCUUCUUUGUGCGUCCCCACAGAGCACAGAUGACCUCCUUGCAUUGCCACGGCAGAUUUCAUUGCCUAUAAAUUCCAAUUCAGCCUACUUUGAUCGCAGGACCAAUAUUUUGAGAAGAUAGAUAACGACACUCAAUCAAAAAUGGAGCAUAUUAUGAAGUCAUUGGCCGGCAAACAUGGUGAAGGCAACAAGAAGAAGAUCAAGGGAACCGUAGUUUUGAUGAAAAAGAAUGUGUUGGACUUCACUGAUUUCAAUGCUUCUAUUGCUGAUGAAGUUCAUGAGUUGCUAGGCAAGAAAGUCUCUCUACAACUCGUCAGUUCUGUUAACGGUGAUCCAGGUAAUUGACCCAAACUCCCUUGCGAGCAUGCAUCUUUGUCAAAUUAGUAGGGGAUAAUGUAAACAAGAUAAAGAUUAAAGGGUUUUGAUUACAGGUUUCAUUCAACUGAAUUGAACGCUGUGAAUUUUUCAUUUCAUAAGGAAGAAGUGAUUAGGCUAAUUACAGCAAGAAUUGUUGUUCAAUGUCCAAGCAAAAAGUCGUAAGAAUUCCCACCAUACAUUAUUGUUAAGGAUAACAAGAAGUUAUUUCUUUAUGCAAGACAGCUCUCUAUCUUCUGCAGCAUCAUCAUGGCCUGUAUGAAAAAGUGCAAACAUGAAAUACUCAGUUUUGAAUGCAAAUUACGUAUCCAACGACCAAAGAUUGGGGCAGAUUUCUUUUCUUUUUGUAUUUUCGUUGAGGUAGAUUAAAAAAAAUGGGGAUUGGGGCAGAUUCAUACAAUAGUUCAUUUAUGUGGUAGUUGUAUAAAAAAAAAAUUUUGACGUAGAAAAACACAAUAUUGUAUACUGAAAAAAUUGGUGUAUUGAAUAACACAUUGAAUAUUAUGGCAAUUACGAUAACAGGGUCGAAUGGGAUAAAACACAAUUAUAGUUGACCCAAGUCCGGCCAAUUUUAAAAGUCAAAUCCACUGUUCCUAUUCCAAUUCCCAAAUGCGGUCCAAACGACCCAGUCUUUACUCUGUAUGGUCAUCUCAAUGUUAAAAUAGUUGACUGGCCAAUCAAGAAACAGAAAGGGCAGUUUUGUUCAACCAGGUCUAGCCAAUAGACUUUGAACAUUAUUGUUAAAACUCCCGCGUUACCACUUCCACAACGUCUGGCUAAUAGGGGCACGAUUUCUCUGUUUGGGCUUGGAAUAAAAUAUUUUUAGCUGGUAUAAAGGUAAUCACUCUCCAUUCACCAGUCAAAUGACCAUUUGUAUCUUGCAACCAAGAAGUUAAUCAAAAGGAGUAACAUCACUUCAACCGACUAAAUCAAUACUUAAAUUUAAUGGAUUAAAAUUUUAAUAUGUUCAGAAGUAUUUAAUAAUAAAAAAAUAAAAUAUUUUAAUUAAUUAAGUGGGUCUGAAUUGAGCAGGCAAAACCUACUCCAACAAAUUAAGUGAUAAUUCGUUCAUUUAUCAUUUAAUACAAAAUGGAUUCAAAUAUUAGGAUUUGAGUAAUUACAAUUUAGAACUCUUAAUUCGUCAAUGCUAUGCGGACAAAACUCAUAUUAUUUGGCAAAAUUUUGACAAAUGUUUUGAAUGAUUUUUCCUUAUACUCUAUUUGUCCCACUUUGAUAGUUUUUUUUUCCUUUUUUAUCCAUUCUAAAUUAUAGCAAUUGAAGAAUAUAGUUAACUUGCAGCAUCUUUAAAAUACCCUUAUUCAAUGCUUUUUGUUAUCAAUGAUUAUAACUUACCUUAUUUAUUAAUUGUUUGGAUUCAUGCCUUUAAUGGUGGAACUUUUGGUAGUAUUGUUGUUGUAAUUAAUGUAAUGGUAUAGUUAUUGAUCAUACUCCUAAUAUUAAUGUAAGGGGUAUUUGAGAAAAAUCGUAGGCUAGAUUUAUUUUUCUAACAAAAUUAACUAUUUUUUCUUAAAUUGUGUAAAAAAAAAAAAUCAAGACUAUCAAAGUGGAACGGAAAGAGUAUAAUAAUAGUUAAUUUUUUGAUGUCUAAUGCACAAAUCACAAGAAAACCUAGUACUUGAUUUUAUUUUAUUUUAUUUUGUGCAAGUUUCUCGGUGCAAAGGAAAAGAAAUGUUCAAUGUCAACUAUCCCCAUUUGGUCAAAGCACAAAAAUAUUUGCUUAGAUCCCCGUUGCCUAUUUACGAAUCUGUAUACCCCUUUCACCACUGGUCAAGCGCAAAUCAUUAACUGGUAUCUUUCAAUAAACCGCAGUUAUCGACUAAAUCACAAGAUCAUUAGCAAUAUUCAAGAUUCAAACAGAUAAAACAAGAUUAUUGUUUUUAAUGAUCUGUAAGGGUCACUGUUCAUCUUCUUAGUCUAACAUUUCAAGAAAUAGUUCAAUCUUACUGCAGAAAAGAAAUUUAAGCACAGUAUUCAGUAACUUCUCAUCAUGCAUGUUUGCAGAAAAAGGACUGCAAGGAAAACUUGGAAGUCCUGCAUAUUUGGAAGGUUGGAUCACUACAAACCAUCGUCUGACAGUUGGUGAAUCAGUUUUCAAUAUCACAUUUGACUGGGAAGAAGAGGUUGAAGUUCCAGGAGCAUUCAUCAUUCAAAAUCAUCAUCAUAGCGAAUUCUUUCUAAAGACGGUGACUCUUGAAGAUGUACCUGGACAUGGCCGAAUCCACUUUGUCUGCAACUCUUGGGUUUAUCCAGCUAAAAAGUACAACCAAAAUCGUAUUUUCUUUUCAAAUCAGGUACUUCAAGAAAAUCUUGGAUACCAUGUUUAUGCCCUUCGAUCUGAAUUGCAUCGAACAACAUAAUUCCAACAUGGAAUGGCUACUCAAUUGAAGAGAACUCUAAGCAGAAAAUAAUCAAUUUGUAUUUGUUUCAGGCAUAUCUUCCGAGUGAUACACCAGAACCACUGCGCCGAUACAGAGAAGAAGAAUUAUUGACCUUGAGAGGAGAUGGUACUGGAGAACUCCAGGAAUGGGACAGAGUCUAUGACUAUGCUUAUUACAAUGAUCUGGCGGAUCCAGACAAAGGUAGCGACUAUGAACGCCCGGUCCUUGGAGGAUCCACGGAAUAUCCUUAUCCCAGAAGGGGAAGAACAGGCAGACCACCAACAAAGACAGGUCAUACAUUUGAUUAUACUAUUAUGCUAGCCAAAAGAUGCCUGCCAGUUUACUAUGUUUGCUGCUACUAGUAGAGUAGAACUAUGUUUACCAGCCGAAUCAAAGUAGUGGUAAAUUUAUAAUCUCCUAGGCUACUAAUAAUUACCAUCCAUUCUUUUCUAAUCACUUCUUUGUUCUCGACAGAUCCAAAUGCUGAGAGCAGGCUGCCAAUACUUUCAAGCUUAAACAUUUAUGUUCCUAGGGAUGAACGAUUCGGGCACUUGAAGAUGUCAGAUUUCCUAGCUUUUGCAUUGAAAUCCAUUGUUCAAUUGCUUGUCCCUGAGUUUAAGGCUCUGUGUGAUAGAACCCCUAAUGAAUUUGAUAGCAUUGAAGAUACUCUUAAACUCUAUGAAGGUGGAAUAAAGCUACCAGAUGGUCCUUUGCUCAAAAACAUUGUUGAGAACAUCCCCUUGGAGUUGCUCAAGCAACUUCUUCAGAGUGAUGGAGAAGAGUUCCUCAAAUAUCCAACUCCACAGGUUAUUAAAGGUACUCUGUUUGCCUCAUGCCCGUUGCAGGUCUUACUUUUUUCUUUCUUGUUUGCACCUUUUAAGGUGCCAUUUCAAGGUUAUCUUAGAAGCUUUAGUUUGGAACAGAUGACAAAUCUGCAUGGAGGACAGACGAAGAAUUUACAAGAGAAAUGCUAGCUGGAGUGAACCCUGUCAUUAUUAGUCGUCUCCAAGUAAAAUCAAUCUUCCUAGCCUCGUUGGCUCCUUGCUCUCUGUUGUUCUUUAGUUUUGGCUUGUAUUAUUUACUGCAUAACAAACUUUGAGAUCCGCACUGGUCAUCAACAAUUUUUACAUUUCUUUCCUGUGGUCUACGUGCAAAUGCUAGAAUUCAGCAUAGGUUUAAGAUUACUUCACUGACUUUUUCUUUCUUUUGACACCCUGCAGGAGUUUCCACCGAGAAGCAAGCUCAACUCUGCAGUCUAUGGCAAUCAAAAUAGUACAAUAACCAGAGAACAGAUAGAGCAAAGGUUGGAUGGCCUGACAAUUGAUGAGGUAACAAAUGCAAUUAUCUAGUACCCUUGGAUUAACAAAGUAGUAUCAGCAGUACUGUGAAACAGCAAAAGCUACUUAAUACCUAUAAAAUUUUCUUGAACAGGCACUGAAGAUGAAUAGUCUAUUCAUUCUGGAUCACCAUGACACGAUUAUGCCAUAUUUGAGGAGAAUAAACACAACAAGUACAAAGACUUAUGCCACAAGGACUCUGCUCUUUUUGCAAAAAGACGGAACCUUGAAGCCAUUAGCCAUUGAGCUUAGCCUGCCCCACCCAAAUGGAGAUGAAUUUGGUGCGAUCAGUAAAGUAUACACACCUGCUGAACUUGGCCUGGAUGGUUCGCUGUGGCAAUUAGCAAAAGCUUAUGUUGCAGUGAUUGACUCAGGCAUUCAUCAGCUCAUUAGCCACUGGUGAAUAAACAAUAUCAAUAGAACCUUGUUCUGGCAUACUGAACAAUUUAGCCCUUUGACUCAUUCAAAACUUGGACUCAAAGAAAAUGUGAUGUUUUUGCAGGUUAAAUACACAUGCUACAAUCGAACCAUUUGUGAUUGCAACCAAUAGGCAGCUGAGUGUGGUUCAUCCAAUUCAUAAGCUUCUGCAUCCUCACUUCCGUGACACAAUGAACAUUAACGCUUUUGCCCGCCAAAUCCUGAUUAAUGCAGGAGGCAUUGUUGAGAUAACAGUUUUCCCUGCAAAAUAUGCCAUGGAGAUGUCAUCAGUUGUUUACAAAGAUUGGAUCUUUCCUGAACAAGCACUUCCAGCUGAUCUCAUUAAGAGGUAGGCCUCUAUUCUAUAUCACUAUGAAAAGUUAAAAAAAGGGAAAGACAAGCUGAAAAGGAAUGCAAAGUACCAGAUGUUAGAAUAUAAUCUUCAAGCACUAGACUAUAAUUAAACCAAAUAUUUGAUUAUCUGAUCUGGCUCACAUUAUAAGUUACUAUUUGGUAUAACAGAGGAAUGGCAGUUGAGGAUUCUAGUGCUCCACAUGGCCUGCGUUUGUUAAUUCAAGAUUACCCCUAUGCUCUCAUGAAUGAUAUACUUUUGUUUCCAUUUUCCUCAGAAAAAUGGCAGUCGAGGAUUCAACUUCCCCUUAUGGCCUUCGAUUACUAAUUGAGGAUUAUCCCUUUGCUGUCGAUGGAUUGAAGAUUUGGUCAGCUAUCAAAACAUGGGUGACAGACUACUGCUCUUUUUACUACAAAAGUGAUCAGAUGGUUCAAGAAGACACUGAACUACAAUCCUGGUGGAAAGAAGUAAGAGAAAAAGGGCAUGCUGACAAGAAAGAUGAACCAUGGUGGCCACGAAUGAAGACUCUCACUGAGCUAAUUGACUCAUGUACUAUAAUAAUAUGGGUGUCUUCUGCUCUUCACGCAUCAACCAAUUUUGGUCAGUGGCCAUAUGCUGGUUAUGCCCCGAAUCGCCCUACCAUAAGCCGCAGAUUCAUGCCUGAACCUGGUACUCCUGAGUAUGAAGAGCUGAAGUCUAAUCCUGAUAAGGCUUUCUUGAAAACUAUCACACCCCAAUUCCAGACUCUACUUGGUCUUUCCACCAUUGAGAUUUUAUCCAGGCACACUAC
rnacentral:lncRNA from 1 species